AUAAUAUUGAAGUUCUGAGAAGGACUGAAAUCUGAUUUUGUGGUAUAAAUGAAAGAAAACUUGGGUUUAAAGAUGGUGUUUUUGAAAGAAAGCAUCGACCCAAAACUUUUAUCAACUCUUUUUACUAUUUGACUGAUAAUAUCAAGUUAAUCGAAAGAUUAAAAAAAAAAAGUUUAAA
rnacentral:misc_RNA from 1 species